UACGAAGGGGCUAGCGUUGCUCGGAAUCACUGGGCGUAAAGGGUGCGUAGGCGGGUCUUAAGUCAGGGUGAAGUCCUGGAGCUCAACUCCAGAACUGCCUUUGAUACUGAAGAUCUUGAGUUCGGGAGAGGUGAGUGGAACUGCGAGUGUAGAGGUGAAAUUCGUAGAUAUUCGCAAGAACACCAGUGGCGAAGGCGGCUCACUGGCCCGAUACUGACGCUGAGGCACGAAAGCGUGGGGAGCAAACAGGG
rnacentral:rRNA from 1 species